CUUUAUUUUAAUAAUAUUAUUUCGGUCUUAUUACCGGUGAAAUAUUACAGUAUGCUGUAAGACAGAACAUUACAAUAUGGGCUGAGUUAGAGUCAGUCAAAUCAG